rnacentral:rRNA from 1 species
UACGAAAGGGGCUAGCGUUGUUCGGAAUUACUGGGCGUAAAGCGCACGUAGGCGGCUUUGUAAGUCAGAGGUGAAAGCCCGGAGCUUAACUCCGGAAUAGCCUUUGAGACUGCAUCGCUUGAAUCCAGGAGAGGUGAGUGGAAUUCCGAGUGUAGAGGUGAAAUUCGUAGAUAUUCGGAAGAACACCAGUGGCGAAGGCGGCUCGCUGGACUGGUAUUGACGCUGAGGUGCGAAAGCGUGGGGAGCAAACAGG